GUCUGGAUAGCUCAGUGGUCUAGAGCAGUUGCCCGGAAAGCAAAAGACUCGGGUUCGAUUUCCGAUUCAGCCA
rfam:Camponotus floridanus CamFlo_1.0_4.contig6885, whole genome shotgun sequence.